GGAGGGUUAGCUCAGUGAUAAAGUGCAUGACUAGAUAAUGCAUGAAGUCCUGGGUUCAAUCCCCAGUACUUCCC
rnacentral:tRNA from 1 species